rnacentral:lncRNA from 1 species
UUAUAAAAGACUACAAGAGGUUACAAGAACCACCCUGUCUUCUCUCUUCUCCUCCUCUCAAGGAAGAAAUCAAUCUUUUCUUGGGGCUUGAUAUUUUCGUAAAUUAUUAAUGGCGUUGAAUGAUAAUCCAUGGGGCGGAGAGAACGCGAAACAACCGAAAAGGCUUGGCGGUCCGCCACCGAAACUGUCGAAAAGAUUGAGCGAGAAAUUCGACGUGGGAAUGGAGAAAACGAAGGAUGUAGCCUCAGCCGGAGUGGAGAAAACCAAGGUGGCGGCGAAGAAAGUUAAGGAUGGAGCCUCCAGUGGGGUGAAUUGGAUCAAAAUCAAAUGCAACAAGAACAAACUCUUCCAGAAAAAAUAGAAACCCUAAUUACAUGGUUUGAAUUGUAAUUCCCCUUUUUUCCCUAAUUCCUUCGUUCAUUUACAAUUGACAGAUAAGUAAUCGAUAAUUUUCUUUCUAUGACGGUUGUGAUUACGGUCUUUGGAUUGGACAUUUACAAUUUUUUAUGUAAAUUUUGUUUCGAAUUUUGUUAAUUUUGGUUUUAUGCGUUUUGUUGGGGGUGACGGGUGGUGGAUCCAACCAGCCGUCUAUUCUGAAUCUUGGGAAAAACCCAACGAACAGGGCCCAGGUCCCCCAAUAGGGGGACGCCACAUAGGUCCCUGGACGUCAUGUCACCCAAGAAUAA